GGAAAAUCGUGGUAGAAGUAACUCAAAAGUGUAUGAAUUCAAUAUGGUGAACUAUUUGAAAGGCAUGUAUAAUCGAUCAGAAACCAAACCUGUUUCCACCAUAAAUCAAGAGAUGCGUGUAAUAAAUUCCCGAGCUAGAAGAAAAAGAUAUCGAUGAAGUGAUUUAUUCUUAUGAAAAAAGCUAAGUAAUGAAGAUAUACUAUAAUUAAAUAAAAAUCGACAUUACGACAAAGUUCAAGAAGAAGAAAGUAAACAACCAAAUGAAAGAGUACUUAAGGUUGAUUGAAAUGUUUUAAAUAGUUUAACUUGUGUUACCGAGAAUUGUAUCACGAUAAGAAAAAUGUAGAAAAACAGUCAACACUAGACUCAUUUUUUAAGAAAUAAAUUAAAUCUAAUCUCGACGUUAAAUAUGGACUUUCUGUACGUACGAGAGCGAGAUACCGUAGUUAUGCAUUUAGUUUGCCUAUACUAUGCGCCAGGAAACAGUUAAUGAUAGUAUGAGCCACGAAGUUAGUAUGUAAAACAAUAUAAUAUUAUUAUUCAUAUUUUGUAUUUUAUAUAAACCUAA